rnacentral:rRNA from 1 species
CCUACGGGCGGCAGCAGUGGGGAAUAUUGCACAAUGGGGGGAACCCUGAUGCAGCGACGCCGCGUGAGUGAAGAAGUAUUUCGGUAUGUAAAGCUCUAUCAGCAGGGAAGAAAAUGACGGUACCUGACUAAGAAGCCCCGGCUAACUACGUGCCAGCAGCCGCGGUAAUACGUAGGGGGCAAGCGUUAUCCGGAUUUACUGGGUGUAAAGGGAGCGUAGACGGCAGAGCAAGUCUGAAGUGAAAGCCCGGGGCCCAACUGCGGGACUGCUUUGGAAACUGGCGGGCUAGAGUGCUGGAGAGGUAAGCGGAAUUCCUAGUGUAGCGGUGAAAUGCGUAGAUAUUAGGAGGAACACCAGUGGCGAAGGCGGCUUACUGGACAGUAACUGACGUUGAGGCUCGAAAGCGUGGGGAGCAAACAGGAUUAGAUACCCCAGUAGUC